CUAGUAACGAACCUGGACUCGAUCUACUACUGAACUAGGAUAUUGUGCUGUGUAAAUAAUUUGCAUUGAGGAGAGUCCAUCAGCUCACUAACACGGGUGAGGGACAGGGACCAAAGAGGAGGCUCUACAACGUGAGGAAAGACGGCGAUCCUCAAGCAGUCAGUCCAUGAGCCCACGUCUUCAGGCCAGGGGCCCGAGAGAAAUUUCCAGUGACAUGGAUCAACAGAGAUCCUCAAACAGUCAGUCCAUGUGCCACGUUCCAGCCAGGGACCAAAAGGGGGACUUUCGUCAUGGGGCCAGACAGACAUCCUCAAGCAAAAUAGAGAGAUGCAUCCAGGCCACCCACUAGGAGGUGGGAAAUCGUACGAAGAGGUGGCUGUACCUGGCAGCAGACUGAGAUGGGGUGAGGAAGAGAAGCACAGACCAAGAACGGAAUGUCAGACAUUUGCCCUUUUUUAUGCCCAGCACACACAGACACACACACACACACACACACACACACACACACACACACACCAGCAUAUAAACAUGCACAUAGACACAGGCGCACGUGCACACACAUACACAGACUCUCAAACAAGAUGAGUCUCUGGUGAUGUUGGCAAAUAAUCUGAAUCGAUACACGCGGCAAUGAUUCCACCAUGGUGCCCCACCUACGCGAGUCCUGUCCUUCAGCAUUGACUUUCUCCCCAGGUGUGGUGUGCCUUCAUCCGAACCACAAUGGCAUCCCAAGCAGCAACAAAUACCUGCACGCAUGCAUGCUACGGUACACACACAAACACACUGGACUGUGAACUAGGUCAGACACACACACAUGCUCAAAGUAGCCAAGAUCGAAAAGGCUGCAUCGGUGGCUUGACUGCAUCCACCUUUGUCAAUUUGGAGGAACUUUGUUGUGGGAAGAUAUUUUAAAAUGUUGAUAGUCAGACUCUUGUAUACCCAUUCGCUUCACUUUGAUGUAUUUUGUAAUUGAGAUGAUUUAUGCCACAGUGCUGAAUUAACACAUCAUGACAAAGAUGUCGCCUUAAAAGGUAUGUUUGGUACCUGUGGGUCAAAUGUCUCAGGAGCUCCCUGACUGCAGAACGUCUCAGGAAAGGACUCAACUUUUUAUAUUGUAUGCUGGGUGCGAUUUGUCAGAAAACCAGAAAGGGGGAUGUGUUUCAGAUGUCAACAAUAUCAAUGGAGUUACAUUAAACUAUGAUUAAAAUCAUGUGGAAAAAGUGACAAUAUCAAAACCAGAAGAGGGGACAAUCUCCCUACAAACCGCACCCUGAUUGUAUGUAUUUUACAUGUUUGUACAUGAUUAAUACAUGUUCACAGAAGAAAAUACAAUGUACGACUGCAAGGUCUUGUGCGUUUUUCUCACCGAUAUCUUAAAGGUUUAUGCGUUACAAAAUGUUUAUUAUUUUGUUUAUUUUCUGAACGUUUUUUUUUAAUAACUCAAAUGGAUAUGUUAAGAAACGUGUUUAUCUUCUGGUUUGUUUUUUGGAAAAUUCCAUUUAAAACAUGAAGGGAUAUUUUAAGAAAGGCUGUGAGUUUAAAAAAAAUGCAUUUUGAUCAUUUUGUUUUCUUGUUUAAAAUGUCAUACAUUUUCAAUUUCCAAAAUCUAUUGAAUGGAUGAAUGUUGUAGCUUACUAAAGAUAAUAAAUGGCCAAUUUGCAUGA